CAGCCGCCGCGGGAAUACAGAGGGUGCGAGCGUUAAUCGGAUUUACUGGGCGUAAAGCGUGCGUAGGCGGCUUCUUAAGUCGGAUGUGAAAUCCCUGAGCUUAACUUAGGAAUUGCAUUCGAUACUGGGAAGCUAGAGUAUGGGAGAGGAUGGUAGAAUUCCAGGUGUAGCAGUGAAAUGCGUAGAGAUGUGGAGGAAUACCGAUGGCGAAGGCAGCCCCCUGGGCCAAUACUGACGCUCAUGCACGAAAGCGUGGGGAGCAAACAGGAUUAGAUACCCCAGUAGUCCCUGUCUCUUAUAC
rnacentral:rRNA from 1 species